rnacentral:misc_RNA from 1 species
GAUGAAGAACGCAGCGAAAUGCGAUAAGUAGUGUGAAUUGCAGAAUUCAGUGAAUCAUCGAAUCUUUGAACGCACAUUGCGCCCCUCGGUAUUCCGUGGGGCAUGCCUGUUCGAGCGUCAUUUACCCCUCAAGCACUGCUUGGUGUUGGGCGUCUGUCCCGCUUCGCGCGCGGACUCGCCCCAAAGGUAUUGGCAGCGGUCGUGCCAGCUUCUCGCGCAGCACAUUGCGCUUCUCGAGGCGGUCGAUCGGCGUCCACGAAGCUCACCUCCACCGUUUGACCUCGGAUCAGGUAGGGAUACCCGCUGAACUUAAGCAUAUCAAUAAGGGAGGA